rnacentral:misc_RNA from 1 species
AAAAAAACCCCCUGUUUUUGAUCAUCGAUUUCUGGAGGAAAGCAUAUUCGUAUCUACACUAUAGAGAGAUUCACAGAAAUAAUGAAAUCAUUCCAUAAAGAACCAAAAAUUUGGAUCAGUUGAUGGUUGGAGGAGGUGGGGAUCUCUCCGUUUGCAGAAAAAAAUAUAAUACCCACCUCCGAUUACAAAUUCAGAAGAAAAGAAGCAAAGUGAAAGAAUCAGAAGGGUGAGCACUGAGCUUACCAGGGAG